GACAGAGGGUGCAAACGUUGUUCGGAAUUACUGGGCGUAAAGCGCGUGUAGGCGGCUAUGCAAGUCGGAUGUGAAAAGCCCUCGGCUCAACCGGGGAAGUGCACUCGAAACUGCAAAGCUAGAGUCUCGGAGAGGAUCGUGGAAUUCUCGGGUGUAGAGGUGAAAAUUCGUAGAUAUCGAGAGGAACACCGGUGGCGAAGG
rnacentral:rRNA from 1 species